CAGCAGCCGCGGUAAGACGUAGGGGGCAAGCGUUGUCCGGAAUUACUGGGCGUAAAGGGCACGCAGGCGGUGCGCCAAGUCGAGGGUGUAAAGUUACGGCUCAACCGUGACAUUGCAAUCGAUACUGGCGUGCUGGAGUGCGGGAGAGGGAAGUGGAAUUCCCGGUGUAGCGGUGAAAUGCGUAGAUAUCGGGAGGAACGCCAGUGGCGAAGGCGGCUUCCUGGCCCGCGACUGACGCUCAUGUGCGAAAGCCAGGGGAGCGAACCGGAUUAGAUACCCGGGUAGUCCUGGCCGUAAACGAUGGGUGCUAGGUGUAGGCGCGUCAAGCGUCUGUGCCGAAGUUAACGCGAUAAGCACCUCGCCUGGGGAGUACGGUCGCAAGGCUGAAACUUAAAGGAAUUGGCGGG
rnacentral:rRNA from 1 species